GUCAGGAUGGCCGAGUGGUCUAAGGCGCCAGACUCAAGAACCGAGGUUCUUCGCCGACAUGAGGUGUUGAGUAUUCUGGUCUCCGAAUGGAGGCGUGGGUACGAAUCCCACUUCUGACA
rfam:Ciona savignyi cont_8689, whole genome shotgun sequence.